CCUACGGGAGGCAGCAGUGAGGAAUAUUGGUCAAUGGGCGCGAGCCUGAACCAGCCAAGUCGCGUGAGGGAAGACGGUCCUAUGGAUUGUAAACCUCUUUUGUCGGGGAGCAAAAGACGCCACGUGUGGCGUUCCGAGAGUACCCGAAGAAAAAGCAUCGGCUAACUCCGUGCCAGCAGCCGCGGUAAUACGGAGGAUGCGAGCGUUAUCCGGAUUUAUUGGGUUUAAAGGGUGCGAAGGCGGAAGAUCAAGUCAGCGGUAAAAUUGAGAGGCUCAACCUCUUCGAGCCGUUGAAACUGGUUGUCUUGAGUGAGCGAGAAGUAUGCGGAAUGCGUGGUGUAGCGGUGAAAUGCAUAGAUAUCACGCAGAACUCCGAUUGCGAAGGCAGCAUACCGGCGCUCAACUGACGCUCAUGCACGAAAGUGUGGGUAUCGAACAGGAUUAGAUACCCUAGUAGUC
rnacentral:rRNA from 1 species